UACGUAGGGUGCGAGCGUUUGUCCGGAUUUAUUGGGCGUAAAGAGCGUGUAGGCGGUUUGGUAGGUCCGCUGUGAAAACUCGAGGCUCAACCUCGAGACGCCGGUGGAAACCAUCAGGCUAGAGUCCGGAAGAGGAGAGUGGAAUUCCUGGUGUAGCGGUGAAAUGCGCAGAUAUCAGGAAGAACACCCGUGGCUAAGGCGGCUCUCUAGUACGGUACUGACGCUGAGACGCGAAAGCGUGGGGAGCGAACAGG
rnacentral:rRNA from 1 species